rnacentral:lncRNA from 1 species
UGUUCCUCAGCUGCCAAAUACUGGCAGAGUUUGGGCUGUAUUUGUGUGUGCAGUUUACGUUGUCAUUUGGGUAAUAAAGGGGAGGAAGUCUAGCUUGGCAGUAUGCUCUUCAAUGUGGCCAUGAGCAUGCUGUGCAAGUAGAAUUAAUGAUGAAUGAUUAGGCUGGUAGCUAAGAAAGAUUUUAGGACUUGAUUAAGCUGGUAGCUGAGUUAGAUUGUAGGACUUGGUGAAGGUGAAGGUGCAAUUGAGGGUCGGCCUGGAUGAAGCCAUCAAAGGUCAGAAGGUGCAGGUAAGUGGCAAGGUCCAGAGGAAUUCAGGCCAGAGCUCAUUGUUUGGGGGCUACAAAGAUGACCCUGGGUAAGGAGGGAGUCUGAAGGUCAGGGGAACAACGGGAAGGAAGGUAGGUAUCUGUACCAAUGUCCUCUGCACAAAGCCAGCUUGGGACACUCUACAGCCACAGCUACUCUGUAGGUUGCUCGAUUAGUUUCCUAUAGCUUUCAUAUAAUUUUUCUCAAACCCAGUGACUUUAAACAACAGAGAAUUAUUCUCUCACAGUUCUGGAGGACAGAAGUCCAAAGUCAAAGUCAUUGGCAGGUACACUCUCCUAAUGCUCUAAAGGAGAAUCCUUCUUUGCCUCUUCCAGCUUCUAGUGGUUGUCAAUACUCCUGGACUUCCCUGGCUACAUUAUUCCAAACUCCCUCCAUUAUCCCAGUCCUUCCUCCUCUUCAGUGUCUUCUAAGGACAUUUGUCAUUGGAUUUAAUGCCCAUUAGUGUAAUCCAGAAUGAUGCAAUCUCUUAAUUACGUCUGCAAAGACCCAUUUUAGAAAUGUCACAAUUGCAAAUUCUGGGAGUUAGGAAAUGGGCAUACCAUUUUGGAACCAUUACUCAAAGCCAUUAUAGUUGUUGAGAGAAUGAGAGACUCUUGAGAACAUAUAUCUUUAGUUUAAAAAACAAGAAAACUUUUUUCGUCUGUGUGUCACACAUAUGGACUGAUCUUGAAUUUCCAUUUGGUGCUUAAUAGCAGGGCAAGACAACUUUCAGAAAGUCUAUUAGUCAAAACUACACUCUUGGGUGAUCUCUAUGUGACUCUACACUCUCUUGGGCUUCCCAGCUGUUAGGUCUAGAUGUAAGAUAUUCCACAAAAUCUAAUGUGUGAGACAAUGCAAGACUCUUCAUAGGUGAAGUGAUUAGAGUAUGAGAGUUGUAAUCAGUAGAUUAAUCCACUAAUAUGAAGUAAGUGGGCAGAAACUGUGGCAGGGAGGGUGUGACUGGAACAGGCAGAUCACUGGGAGUGUACCUUUGGGGUUUAUAUUUUGCCCCUGGUGAGUGAGGCUCUCUCUGUUUCCUGGUUUCCAUGUGCUGAGCUGCUGUCUGUGCUGUUUUCCUCCACUAUGCCUUUCUACCAUGAUGUCCUGUCUCAUCUGGGGCCCAGAGCUAUGGAGUUGACUGACCAUGGACUGAACCUGUGAAAGUGUGAGUCAAAAUAAAUUUUUCCUC